rnacentral:rRNA from 1 species
AACGUUACGGGAAACCGGAGCUAAUACCGGAUAAUAUAUUGAACCGCAUGGUUCAAUAGUGAAAGACGGUUUUGCUGUCACUUAUAGAUGGAUCCGCGCCGCAUUAGCUAGUUGGUAAGGUAACGGCUUACCAAGGCAACGAUGCGUAGCCGACCUGAGAGGGUGAUCGGCCACACUGGAACUGAGACACGGUCCAGACUCCUACGGGAGGCAGCAGAG